rnacentral:ncRNA from 2 species
CAGAAGCGACAGGGGCGCCCGGACAUCCGGGCUGAGAUGCACCCUUGGAACCUGAACCGGAUAAUGCCGGCGGAGGGAGGCGCGCACGACCCACC